AUAGAUACCCGGGUAGUCCACGCCGUAAACGAUGAGUGCUAAGUGUUGGGGGGUUUCCGCCCCUCAGUGCUGCAGCUAACGCAUUAAGCACUCCGCCUGGGGAGUACGGUCGCAAGACUGAAACUCAAAGGAAUUGACGGGGGCCCGCACAAGCGGUGGAGCAUGUGGUUUAAUUCGAAGCAACGCGAAGAACCUUACCAGGUCUUGACAUCCCGGUGACCACUAUGGAGACAUAGUUUCCCCUUCGGGGGCAACGGUGACAGGUGGUGCAUGGUUGUCGUCAGCUCGUGUCGUGAGAUGUUGGGUUAAGUCCCGCAACGAGCGCAACCCUUAUUCUUAGUUGCCAUCAUUCAGUUGGGCACUCUAAGGAGACUGCCGGUGAUAAACCGGAGGAAGGUGGGGAUGACGUCAAAUCAUCAUGCCCCUUAUGACCUGGGCUACACACGUGCUACAAUGGACGGUACAAACGGUUGCCAACCCGCGAGGGGGAGCUAAUCCGAUAAAACCGUUCUCAGUUCGGAUUGUAGGCUGCAACUCGCCUACA
rnacentral:rRNA from 1 species